rnacentral:rRNA from 1 species
AACGAACGCUGGCGGCAUGCCUAACACAUGCAAGUCGAACGAGACCUUCGGGUCUAGUGGCGCACGGGUGCGUCACGCGUGGGAACCUGCCCUUAGGUUCGGAAUAACUCCCCGAAAGGGGUGCUAAUACCGGAUAAUGUCUUCGGACCAAAGAUUUAUCGCCUUUGGAUGGGCCCGCGUUGGAUUAGCUAGUUGGUAGGGUAAAAGCCUACCAAGGCGACGAUCCAUAGCUGGUCUGAGAGGAUGAUCAGCCACACUGGGACUGAGACACGGCCCAGACUCCUACGGGAGGCAGCAGUGGGGAAUAUUGGACAAUGGGCGAAAGCCUGAUCCAGCAAUGCCGCGUGAGAGAUGAAGGCCUUAGGGUUGUAAAGCUCUUUUACCCGGGAUGAUAAUGACAGUACCGGGAGAAUAAGCUCCGGCUAACUCCGUG